UUUUACCUAGUUUAAACUAAAAUGGUGGUUUGUCAAACCAUUGAUGAAAAAAUUUUCGGUUAAGU
rnacentral:tRNA from 1 species